rnacentral:rRNA from 1 species
CUACGGGUUGCUGCAGUGAGGAAUAUUGCACAAUGGGGGGAACCCUGAUGCAGCAACGCCGCGUGGAGGAUGACGCAUUUCGGUGUGUAAACUCCUUUUAUAUGUCAAGAAAAUGACGGUAGCAUAUGAAUAAGCACCGGCUAACUCCGUGCCAGCAGCCGCGGUAAUACGGAGGGUGCAAGCGUUACUCGGAAUCACUGGGCGUAAAGGACGCGUGGGCGGGCUUGUAAGUCAGGUGUGAAAUCCUACAGCUUAACUGUAGAACUGCACUUGAAACUACGAGCCUAGAGUAUGGGAGGGGGAGAUGGAAUUAGUGGUGUAGGGGUAAAAUCCGUAGAUAUCACUAGGAAUACCUAAAGCGAAGGCGAUCUCCUGGAACAUUACUGACGCUAAGGCGUGAAAGCGUGGGGAGCAAACAGGAUUAGAUACCCCCGUAGUC